AUUGAACGCUGGCGGCAGGCCUAACACAUGCAAGUCGAGCGAGCGGCGGACGGGUGAGUAAUGUAUGGGGAUCUGCCCGAGAGAGGGGUAAAAAUAGUGGAAACGGUGGCUAAUACCGUAUACUAUCGGAUGAACCCAUAUGGGAUUGGCUAGUAGGUGGGGUACAGGCGCACCUGGGCGACGAUCUCUAGCUGGUCGGAGAGGAUGAUCAGCCACACUGGGACUGAGACACGGCCCAGACUCCUACGGGAGGCAGCAGUGGGGAAUAUUGCACAAUGGGCGCAAGCCUGAUUCAGCCAUGCCGCGUGUAUGAAGAAGGCCUUAGGGUUGUAAAGUACUUUCAGCGGGGAGGCGUUACCCGCAGAAGAAGCACCGGCUAACUCCGUGCCAGCAGCCGCGGUAAUUC
rnacentral:rRNA from 1 species